CCCCAUUCCUCCAAUUUCUCAAUCUCCAACUUCUAAAGAAGACAACUAGACUAUAAACUCCCUGAGGCCAAGGAAGAUUUGCUGUGUUCACUGUUGCAUUCCCAAUGGGUUUUGAAUAAAGGCUUGUUACUGGAGAAAGGCACUUACCUUGAGCUUUGCAAUCUGCCCCACGACUGAGCCCACAGCUCCAGCUGCUGCAUUAACCAUCACUGUUUCUCCACCCUUCACACCACAGAUUUCAAGUAGGCCAAAGUAGGCAGUCAGGCUAAAGGAAGAAAAUUAAGGAUAUAUGAAUAGAGUUGUUUCUUUCCUCUAUAACUCAUUUAUAUAUAUCUUGAAAGCCUUCUCAGUGGCCCAGUGCCAUGGGUCCAAGUAAAAGACAAAAAUAUGGAAAUAAAUAUUGCCAGCCACUGUUGCUUUACUUCCUCCAUCUCUACUGUCAGAUAGGAAUAAAGGUGAUGUGAACUAGGGAGGGAAGGGAGAGUUGGCUAGAAAGGGGCUGUAUCCUGUCCAUUCACAGGCCAAAUUUCAGGGGCAAAAGAUGGAAUAUCUUUCUCAAACUUUGGGGAUUCAAGAAGAGAGAGCUGUGCCUCAUUCCCAUAUAAGUUCUAUGUAGAUGAUGAGCUUCAUGGGAGAAGCCCCCAUGUUAUCAUGGCGACAUAGCCACAGAGUAGCUACAAUGCUGUGAUAUUAGGCAUGAGAGGGUCACAGGGAGCAUCUGGAGCUUUCCAUGGCUCCAAAGUGGUAUGGAAGACCUUCUGAAACUUCCCCGUAUUACCCCAAGUAAGAUGUCAAAGUUAGCUUGCAGGAAAAGAGCUACUGGACCUACCAAGAUGCAGCACUGGCAGUACUGAUGGGGACUGGGUGAAGACACCACCGCAUCUCAUUGGAUUGCGAGUUUGGAAGGUGAUAUGAUUGAAGACUUUCUUCACAACCAAAGUUUCCUCGUGUCUCCCUUCACCUCUUCUCCCCUACACCUGGCUCACAGUCCAGAGGGAAUGACAGGUAACAGAGGAGAAUAGAGAGGAAGAGCUCUCAUCCGUAGAGGGUACAGGGCGGGCAGGAAAGACCAAGAAGUGCUGGAAUUGUUUAGUGCCCACUAAUUGAAUGUAAGAAGGUAUUAAGCAUCCUCUACUUUCACAAUGAUGUCCUUGGCAGUGGCAAUUUUGAGGAGUUCAAAUUCUGAGUGAAAUAUGAAUUUGGGGUACAUAGGAGUUGUUUUUGUUUAGAGGUGACCAUUUGGCACUGUAUAUAUAUUUCCAUUUCAUUCCUCAGAAGACCUUCAAAGUUGUAAAAAAGGAAAGGGAAGGAAGGGUGGGAAGAAGGAAAGGGGGAAAGGAUCUCAAAACUUAGAGAAAGGAAGUAACUUUGAGCAGGAGACCAGCUUAAGACCAGUAUAGAUCAAGAUCAAGAAGUUGUUGUUGUCCCCCUUCUACUGACACUGAACUUGUAUUAUCCCUUGGAGCUUUGCAACAACCGCAGGGAGAAGAAAAAAGAAAUCCUGAGUUUUAAAUUUGAAAUGAUGUGAGAAAUCACUGAAUUUAACUGAGGUUUUCUCUUAUUACACUAGCCAAAAGGAGGGCUUGAGGUAGAAAUGAAGUUCAGUAGUGGAAAAUGUUAAGCUAUAUUUUUGCAGACCUGAAUCUCAGCCAAUAAAAUCCAGACCCAUUAUAGUGAUUGUUAAGCCACUUGCAGAAUUUCAGACAAAUUCAUGUAAAGUUAUUUCUGCAUUAAAAAAAAAAACUACAUGUUGACAUUACUUAGCUUACACAGCCUCUGACUAUAUUUGGGGCCCAUGAGAGGCUGGCAUUGAAUAGAAGGCAGUGAGAGGCACAGGCAGCAUUUUUUUCUAAGAAUCCAAAUAUCUAACAUGCAUUCCUUAGUGGCUUGGAUCAGAUGAAUAAGAAAUAUACAUAAGUGAAUAAAUUAUCUUCUCUUUCAGGAGUCAGGAUCUCCUAAUAUAUUACAAAUUACCUUCUCAACAACCAAAGUUUCCUCAUGUCUACCUUCACCUCUCCUACCCCACACCUGGCUCACAGUGCAGAGGGAAGGAUGAGCAGGAUAACGAAGGAGGAGGAAGAGCUCUCACCCAUAGAGGGUACAGGGCAGGCAGGAAAGAAUAAGAAGUGCUGGAAUUAUUUAGUGUCCACUAAUUGAAUGUAAGAAGGUAUUAAUUUUAGUAAACAUUAAUUACUAAAAUGUUUAUUCAUGCCGGGCAUGGUGGGUCUAACUGAAAUUUUGUAUCCUUUGACCAACAUCUCCCCAACCCUUCAGCCUCCCGGCCCCUGAUAACUAUCAUUCUACUCUCUAAUUCUAUGAGUUCAACUUUGUUAGAUUCCACACUGAAGUGAAAUAAUGUGGUAUUUGCCUUUCUGUGCCUGGCUUAUUUCACUUAACAUAAAGUCCUCCAAUGUUGUCACAAAUGACAAGAUUUUCUUCUUUUUUAAGGCUGGAUAGUAUUCUGCUAUGUAUAUAGACCACGUUUUCUUUAUCCAUUCACCCAUUGAUGGACACUUAGGUUGAUCUGCCAUCUUGGUCCUGCCCUCUUCUCUGAUCAGCCCCUGAGCCUAUCAUGCAUCAAAUAUCUUCCUGUUGACCAAGUUCUGAACAAACCAUUUUGGAAAAUCAGAGUGUCAGACAUUCAAACAAAUGGAAUAUAUCCAUGAAACUCACCCUGGCAUGCCAACUGUCCCCAGAGCCAAAGACAGUGGUAUUGUGUCUGGCCACUCUGUCAGCAGCUUUUCCAGAUCUUUCCCAUCAGAAAUGGAGUGCGUUGUCCAGCCUGGAGAAGCCAGUACAAUAGUUCCUUUUGGUAGGGCUACAUUUUUACUUUCCACAACUCUGAAAGAUAAAGCACAUUAAGGCAUUAAGGCAUGUGACAUGUCUUCCCUUUCAAGGGAGUCAGGAUGCUGUGUGGUUAGUGUUGACAAAAGUGCACUGAGGUUGAUAUUCCACAACUGAUAGUCCACCACCCCUCUCCAUCUUAAUUCUUAGCCAUCGGCAUAGGGGUCACCAGAGAACUCUCAACUGGCCCAGCCACUUGAGGAAGGAGUGGCUCAUGGGGUGAGGAGCGCCUGUUCUCACCCACAUCUCUUCCUUUUAAGCAAGAGGCCUCUGUCCUGUGGCUCAAGGUGACCUGGACACUAGCCUUCUCUUCUUCAGGUGUCGCUCUCUUUCCCUUAGCCUUCCACUUUCCAGAAUCGUUGAGAUUUUCCUCUCUACUGUCCCUUUCACUCAAAAUAUAAGCAUGCUCAAGUCUGCCAUCUUAUAAUCCCAUCCCUCCCCUAGCUCCUUGCCCCUUCGUCUUCCUUUUUCAGCCAAACUUCUUCACUUCCCAUUCAUGUGCUAACCCGCUGCAACCUGCCUUCCACCCCUACUACUCCACUAAGGUCACAACAACCUCCUGAGCACAAAAUCCAGUGGAUAUUCCUUAAUCAUUGUCUGAUUUUACUUUUCCACUCUCUCUCUCUCUCUCUCUCUAUAUAUAUAUAUAUAUGCAUACUUUUUUUUUUUAAGAUGGAGUCUUGCUCUUGUCGCCCAGGCUGGAGUGCAGUGGUGUGAUUUCAGCUCACUGCAACCUUCACUUCCUGGGUUCAAGCAAUUCUCCUGCCUCAGCAGCUGGGAUUAUAGGCGCCCACCACAACAACACCAGACUAAUUUUUGUAUAUUUAGUAGGGACAGGGUUUCACCAUGUUAGCCAGGCUGAUCUCGAACUCCUGACCUCAGGUGAUCCACCUGCCUUGGCCUCCCAAAGUGCUAGGAUUACAGGUGUAAGCCACUGCGCCCAGCCUACCCUUUUCCACUCUAUUAACACAGGGUCACCCAAAAGUCUUCCCUCAUUGGUUCCCAGGGUACUGAUCUCUGCUGGCUUUUUGCCUCCUCCUCUAAGCUGCACCCUUUCUGUCUCAUUUACUGAUUCCCUUUUCUUCAUCCAACUCUUUAUCCUUCUUUACCAUCUUUCCUUCCCAGAUCAUAAAGUUAUAUAAUGCAUAUUUAUUCUAGAAAAUUUUAAACAUAUAAAACAAAAAUAUCAGUUCUAAUCUGACAGCACAAAGACAACUGCUAACAUUUGGGUGUAUUUUCUGUCAAUCUUAAUGGUAUAUUUAAAAAUGUAUACUAUAUGUAUGUAUUUAUUUAUUUAUUUUUUGAAACAGAGUCUCGCUCUGUUGCCUGGCUGGGUGCAAUGGUGCCAUCUCGGCAUACUGCAACCUCUGACUCCCGGGUUCAAGCAGUUCUCCUGCCUCAGCCUCCCAAAUAGCUGGGAAUACAGGCGCGUGCCACUACGCCCAGCUAAUUUUUGUAUUUUUAGUAGAGACGGGGUUUUGCCAUAUUGGGCAGGAUGGUCUUGAUCUCUUGACCUCGUGAUCCGUCUGCCUCAGCCUCCCAAAGUGCUGGGAUUACAGGCGUGAGACACCGCGCCCGGAUGUAUUAUACAUAUUUACAUAAUUGAAGUAAUGUUAUAUGUUUUAUAACCAAUAAUUUAUCUGUCAACAUUACGUUGGUCUAUAUAAUUUAUACUUUUUUCCAUGUUAGUAAGAAUCCUUCAAACAAUGUAAUGAAUUUAAUUACACCCCCAUUAUUAGGAUACUUUCAGUAUUUUUCCUAAUGUUAAUUAUUUUUUUCCUUUUUUCUGAGUCUGCUUGCUAGGAAAUAUAUUUUAAUUAAUAUUCAUAAACGUGAUUAUUAUUUUUUCUUUUUUUUUUUUUUGAGACACAGUCUCUCUCUGUUGCUCAGGCUGGAGUGUAGUGGUGCGAUCAUGGCUCACUGCAACCUCAACCUCCCCUGAGCUCAAAUGAUCCUCCCACCUUGGCCUCCUGAGUAGCUGGGACCGAGUAGCUGGGACCACAGUAGCACACUACCACAUCCAGCUAAUUUUUUUUUUUUUUUUUUGAGACGGAGUCUCGCUCUAUUGCCCAGGCUGGAGCACAGUGGCGUGAUCUCAGCUCACUGCAAGCUCCGCCUCCCCGGUUCACACCAUUGUCCUGCCUCAGCCUCCCGAGUAGCUGGGACUACAGGUGCCCACCACACCAAACCCGGGUAAUUUUUUGUAUUUUUAGUAGAUAUAAAUAUACAUGUAUUUGUAUAUUUAGUAGAGAUGGGGUUUCACCUGUUAGCCAGGAUGGUCUCCAUCUCCUGACCUUGUGAUCUGCCCGCCUCGGCCUCCCAAAUUGCUGGGAUUACAGGCGUGAGCCACGUGCCUGGCCAAUUUUUUUUUUUUGAGACAAGAGUUUCAAUCUGUUGCCCAGGCUGGAGUCCAAUGGCGAGAUCUCAGCUCACUGCAACCUCCGCCUCCCAGGUUCAAGCAAUUCUCGUCCCUUGGCCCCCUGAAUAGCUAGGAUUACAGGCGCCCACCACCACGCCUGGCUAAUUUUUGUAUUUUUAGUAGAGACGAGGUUUCACCAUGUUGCCCAGGCUAGUCUUGAACUCCUGACCUCAGGUGAUCCACCCACCUCAGCCUCCCAAAGUACUGAGAUUACAGGCGUGAGCCACUGUGCCCAGACUUUUUUGUAUUUUUUUGUAGAGACGGGGUUUACCACGUUGUCCAGGGUGGUCUCAAACUCCUAGAUCCACCCACCUCGACCUCCUGAAGUGCUGGGAUUAUAGGAAUGAGCGACUGCACCUGGCUCAAUACUGUUGCCUUAGUCAGGAUUUCUAUAAAUGGUAUUACUAGGUCAAAGAGUAUUAAAACAUUUGUAACUCUUGCUGCAUAUUGCCAAAUUCCCAAAUUCCUUUCUAGAAGGUUGUGCCAACUUCCACUUCCACCAUCAAUGUAUGAGUGUAUUAUCUCCAUUACUAUUAUAUUUUCAAAAAUAGUUUGCCAAUCCAGCAAACACAAAUACAUGUUCAUUUCUUUAAUUAUUAGCAAGAAACGUAUAAGACCUAUAUGAAGAAAACUGUUAAUGGGAUAUAAGACAAAAUGAAUAAAUGGAGAAGCAUACCUUGUGUUUGGAGAGAGAAAUUGUAAAGAUGUCAGUUUCCUCUAAAUAAAUCUGUAAGGUCACUGAAAUUCCAGUAAAGAUCCAUAGACGAUUUCUACCAAUGGUAUUAUAAUAACUGGCUAGUCAUUGAGACACAAAAUUUAAAAAAAUAAAGAAUGAGAUGUUUGGUUUUUUUAAGAGACAGGGUUUUGCCAUGUUUCCCAGGCUGGUCUUGAACUCCUGAAUUCAAGCAAUCCAUCCACCUUGGCCUCCCAAAGUGUUAGGAUUACAGGCGUGAGCCACUGAAGCUGCCCCCACUCAUUAUUCUAAUAUAAAAGCUAAAUGACUCAAAAUUUUUGUCAUAAAAAAUUAAAGUAUAAAAUACAGAAAACAUGAAUACUUUUUUUUUUUUGAGAUGGAGUCUCACUCUAUCAUCCAAAGCUGGAGUGCAAUGGCGCGAUCUCUGCUCACUGCAACCUCCUCCUUGGUUCAAAUGAUUCUCCUGCCUCAGCUUCCCAAGUAGCUGGGAUUACAAGCGCCCACCACUGUGCCCAGCUAAUUUUUGUAUUUUUAGUAGAGAUGAGGUUUCGCCAUGUUGUCCAGGCUGGUUUUGAACUCCCGACCUCAAGUGAUCCGCCCACCUUGGCCUCCCAAAGUGCUGGGAUUGCAAGCGUGAGCCACUGCCCCCGGCAUGAAUAAAUAUUUUAGUAAUUAUGGAGUGGGGAACCCCUUUCUAAGCAUGAGAUGAAACCAAAGGACCAUAAUUAUAAAUACUUACAAUUUUAUCACAUAAAAUUUUAAACUGUAAUUGGACACAGAAGAAAUAUCAACAAAGGCCCAAACAUUUGCAACACUAAUAUCCUGAACAUACGAGAAGCUUUUACAAAUCAAUAUAACGAAUGAUAAGACCUAAAGGAAAAGGGCAAAGGAUAUAAACAGAUAAUCCACAGAAGAAAAUUGAGAAUUAACUUACAAAAAGAAGGUCAACAUCACUAAUAAUAAAAGAAAUGCAAACUAAACUAAGCAUAAAGUAUCAUUAUAUUUAUCUCAGGUUGCCGAGACUGAUGAUGAACAGUAUAAGGGAAACAGGUUAAUACUAUUUGUGGGAGUGAACAUUCAUACAUUUUUUUUUUUGAGACCAAGUCUCACUCUGUUGCCCAGGCUGGACUGCAGAGGUGUGAUCUCAGCUCACUGCAACCUCUGCCUCCUGGGUUCAAGCAAUUCUCAUGCCUCAGCCUCCUGAAUAGCUAGGAUUACAGAUGCCCAUCACCACACCUGGCUAAUUUCUUUAUUUUUAGUAGAGAUUGGGUUUUGACAUGUUGGCCAGGCUGGUCUCAAAUUCCUGACCUCAAGUGAUCCUCCUGCUUCAGCCUCCCAAAAUGCUGGGAUUACAGGCAUGAGCCACUGCGUCCAGCCUUCAUGUAAUUUUUCUGAAGAACAAUUUGUCAUCACCUUUUCAGUUAAAAAUAUACAUUUCUUUGGGUCUAGAAUUUAUACUUCUGGGAACUUAAUGUAAAGCAAUACUCAUCCAAGAGGGUAAAGAAUACACAGAUACACACGUAUACAUACAUACAUGCUCCUGGAAGAAUUAUUUGUCAUAGAAAAAAUUGAAAACAGUUGUUAUCAGUAGUAGAUUAGUUAAAAAUAACUUGCAGCUAUUAAAAGGUAGGUGGUAUAUUCAUAUACUGUCAAUGAAAGAUAUCCUUAACAUAAUAAUUGAUAGCAGUUUUCUGAAGGUCAUAUAAUUCCAUUUAAAAUUUAUAUAUAGGCCGGGCACGGUGGCUCAUGCCUGUAGUCCCAAAACUUUGAGAGGCCAAGGCGGGCGGAUCACCUGAGGUCGGGAGUUCGAGACUAGCCCAACCAACAUGGAGAAACCCCAUCUCUACUAAAAAUACAAAAUUAGCCGGGUGCGGUGGUGCAUGCCUGUAAUCCCAGCUACUUGGGAGGCUGAGGCAGGAGAAUCAGAAUCACUUGAACCUGGGAGGUAGAGGUUGCGGUGAGCCAAGAUUACGCCAUUGCACUCCAGCAUGGGCAACAAGAGUGAGACUCCGUCUCAAAAAAAAAAUAAUAAUAAAAUAAAAUGAAAUUUAUUUAUAAAAGUAUGUACACUGGACAAUUUUUCUUUUUCUUUUUUUUUUUUUUUUUUUGAGAUGGAGUCUCACUCUGUCGCCCAGGCUGGAGGGCAGUGGUGCAAUCGGCUCACUGCAACCUCCACCUCCCAAGUUCAAGCAAUUCUCCUGCCUCAGCCUCCCGAGUAGCUGGGAUUACAGGCAUGCACUACCACACCCAGUUAAUUUUUGUUUUUUUAGUAGAGACGGGGUUUCACCAUGUUGGCCAGGCUGGUCUCGAACUCCUGACCUCAAGUGAACUGCCCACCUCAGCUUCCCAAAGUGCUGGGAUCACAGGCGUGAGCCACUGCUGGCCCACAAUUUUUGAAAUAAUAAUAUAUUAACAAUAGUUGUCUUUAAGGUUCAGAUGACAGGGGAACUUUCAGUUUCUAAGAUAAAAAUUUUGUUUUAUUUGAAUUUUUACAAUAAUCAUUGUAGGCAGACCCCCUGAAACUAUUGCUACGGAAUAAAAGAUGAAAUGCUCCUGAUUAUUGUGAAUACAAAGUUGCAUGCAGGAUUGUGUAAAGACAAUGCCAGGUUGGACUGCCAGAAUGAGCCAACAGCGUGUGAUGUGCUUCCCCCUGCAGAGAGCCUAUGACCAGACAUGCAGUCAGGGAGGUUUCACAUCACCAAGAUUCCUAUGCCAGAAAUGCAGAUUUUCAUAGCUCUGGGAAUGGAAUGCAACCCUUGUGGAGAGCCUAUAAAUGGACGCAUGUGGGGGCACCUGUCCAUAUGGAUAAGAUAGGGCUGUAAAUGCCCUCAUCUUGCCACAGCUCUUCUAGCCCUCUUUACGGUUAAGGCAUACUCCCUUCUGAGAAUUUCUGGUCUAACUGAUUGUCUAGCUUCACCUCCUGUUUCUAUGGAUUGUUUGUAACCAGCUUUUGCUGCAACUGUUACUGCUGAUUAAUAUCUUGCUAAUCAUAGGUUAUGGAAAGACUGUGUUUCUGUUUUAAGGCUCUGUUAGAAAUUACUGAUGCACACACUAUAUUGUAAAUUCUUAUCUCUGUAUACUGUACUUCUGCAUACAGAUGUAUGUUAAAGAAUUA
rnacentral:lncRNA from 1 species